rnacentral:lncRNA from 1 species
AUCCCAGAAUCGACUUCACUGUUAACGGGAUUUUGGCCACCUGAUGUUGCAGUAACAUUUUGAACAUAUGGUGAUUUUGUAGAUACUUCCCGCUUGAUGAUCUCGGCCUCAGAUAAACGGGUUUUUGGUCUGAGAGAAGUUCUGAGGUUGGCUGCUGCCGUCUUCUUCAUCCCAGAAUGGACUUCACUGUUAACGGGAUUUUGGCCACCUGAUGUUGCAUUAACAUUUUGAACAUAUGGUGAUUUUGUAGAUACUUCCCGCUUGAUGAUCUCAGCCUCAGAUAAACGGGUUUUUGGUCUGAGAGAAGUUCUGAGGUUGGCUGCUGCUGUCUUCUUCAUCCCGGAAUGGCCUUCACUGUUAACGGGAUUUUGGCCACCUGAUGUUGCAGUAACAUUUUGAACAUAUGGCGAUUUUGUAGAUACUUCCUGCUUGAUGAUCUCGGCCUCAGGGAUAUCUAACGA